rnacentral:sRNA from 1 species
AGGUCUUUGUUUUCUCUUCACUUCUAUGUGCUUUCUCAAUCCUCCUACUCCAAACCUUUCCCCUCUGUGCCUCUCACUUCUCCUUGCCGUAUUUCUCUUCUCAUUCUCUUCUGCCCUAGUUUCUUGGACCCCUCUUCUUUGUCCCUUCUUCCUCUUUAUCACCCAGAGCGCGGUGAUCGUGAUCUCAAUGGCCUCCUCUCUUCACUCGUCCAGCUGCUUUCAGCCCCCGAAGCCCGAACACUGUUUGGCUUCCAAUCACUAGUACAGCGAGAGUGGGUGGCAGCUGGACAUCCCUUCCUGACUCGGCUUGGGGGAACUGGGGCCAGUGAAGAGGCUCCGGUGUUUCUCCUCUUCCUUGAUUGUGUCUGGCAGCUCCUCCAGCAGUUUCCAGCUGAUUUUGAAUUCUCUGAGUUUUUCCUUCUUGCUCUUCAUGACAGUGUCAGGGUUCCUGACACCCUUACCUUCCUGAGAAAUACCCCCUGGGAGCGCGGAAAGCAGAGCGGACAGUUAAACUCCUAUACACAAGUCUACACCCCAGGAUACUCCCAGCCUCCAGCUGGGAACUCUUUUAACCUGCAGCUGUCUGUCUGGGACUGGGAUUUACGUUAUAGCAAUGCACAGAUACUACAAUUCCAGAAUCCUGGCUAUGACCCAGAACACUGUCCAGAUUCCUGGCUCCCUAGACCACAGCCAAGCUUCAUGGUUCCUGGACCCCCCAGUUCUGUGUGGCUCUUCUCUAGAGGAGCAUUGACCCCCCUGAAUCAGCUCUGUCCUUGGCGGCAGAGUCCUUGCCAGCAGAGUCCCUCCCUGCUGGCAGUCUCUUCUCGUUGGCUCCCUCGACCUGCUAUCUCCUCUGAAAGCCUGGCUGACCAGGAAUGGGGUCUCCCCUCACAUUGGGGAGCUUGCCCUUUACCUCCAGGGCUGCUGCUGCCUGGGUAUCUGGGACCC